GCCCCGGUAGCCUAGUGGUAAAGGCGGCGACCCACCGAGCCGCAGAUCGCGGGUUCGAAUCCCGCCCGGGGCU
rnacentral:tRNA from 1 species